GACGAACGCUGGCGGCGUGCUUAACACAUGCAAGUCGAACGGAAAGGCACUGCUUUUGUGGGGUGCUCGAGUGGCGAACGGGUGCGUAACACGUGAGUAACCUGCUCUUGAUUUUGGGAUAACUUCAGGAAACUGGGGCUACUACCGGAUCGGAGCUCAUGCUGCCUGGUGGGGGUUGGAAAGUUUCGGCGGUUGGGGAUGGACUCGCGGCUUAUCAGCUUGUUGGUGGGGUAGUGGCUUACCACGGCUUUGACGGGUCGCCGGCCUGAGAGGGUGACCGGCCACAUGGGGACUGAGAUACGGCGCAGACUGCUACGGGAGGCAGCAGUGGGGAAUAUUGCACAAUGGGCGGAAGCCUGAUGCAGCAACGCCGCGGGCGGGAUGACGGCCUUCGGGGUGUAAACCGCUGUCGCCUGUGACGAAGCGUGAGUGACGGUAAUGAGUAAAGAAGCACCGGCUAACUACGUG
rnacentral:rRNA from 1 species